rnacentral:rRNA from 1 species
GUCCACGCUGUAAACGAUGAUAACUAGCUGUCCGGGUUCAUGGAAUCUGGGUGGCGCAGCUAACGCAUUAAGUUAUCCGCCUGGGGAGUACGGUCGCAAGAUUAAAACUCAAAGGAAUUGACGGGGGCCUGCACAAGCGGUGGAGCAUGUGGUUUAAUUCGAAGCAACGCGCAGAACCUUACCAACGUUUGACAUCCCUAUCGCGGUUACCAGAGAUGGUUUCCUUCAGUUCGGCUGGAUAGGUGACAGGUGCUGCAUGGCUGUCGU